rnacentral:rRNA from 1 species
GGCCGCAAGGUUAAAACUCAAAUGAAUUGACGGGGGCCCGCACAAGCGGUGGAGCAUGUGGUUUAAUUGAUGCAACGCGAAGAACCUUACCUACUCUUGACAUCCAGAGAACUUAGCAGAGAUGUUUGGUGCCUUCGGGAAUCUGAGACAGGUGCUGCAUGGCUGUCGUCAGCUCGUGUUGUGAAAUGUUGGGUUAAGUCCCGCAACGAGCGCAACCCUUAUCCUUUGUUGCCAGCGAUUCGGUCGGGAACUCAAAGGAGACUGCCGGUGAAAACCGGAGGAAGGUGGGGAUGACGUCAAGUCAUCAUGGCCCUUACGAGUAGGGCUACACACGUGCUACAAUGGCGUAUACAAAGAGAAGCGACCUCGCGAGAGCAAGCGGAACUCAUAAAGUAGUCGUAGUCCGGAUUGGAGUCUGCAACUCGACUCCAUGAAGUCGGAAUCGCUAGUAUCGUAGAUCAGAAUGCACGGUGAAUACGUUCCCGGGCCUUGUACACACCGCC